rnacentral:rRNA from 1 species
AGUGAACGCUGGCGGCAGGCCUAACACAUGCAAGUCGAACGGCAGCACAGAGGAGCUUGCUCCUUGGGUGGCGAGUGGCGGACGGGUGAGGAAUACAUCGGAAUCUGCCUAUUUGUGGGGGAUAACGUAGGGAAACUUACGCUAAUACCGCAUACGACCUACGGGUGAAAGUGGAGGACCUUCGGGCUUCGCGCAGAUAGAUGAGCCGAUGUCGGAUUAGCUAGUUGGCGGGGUAAUGGCCCACCAAGGCGACGAUCCGUAGCUGGUCUGAGAGGAUGCUCAGCCACACUGGAGCUGAGACACGGUCCAGACUCCUACGGGAGGCAGCAGUGGGGAAUAUUGGACAAUGGGCGCAAGCCUGAUCCAGCCAUGCCGCGUGGGUGAAGAAGGCCUUCGGGUUGUAAAGCCCUUUUGUUGGGAAAGAAAAGCAGCCGGUUAAUACCCGGUUGUUCUGACGGUACCCAAAGAAUAAGCACCGGCUAACUUCGUGCCAGCAGCCGCAGUAACAC